AGAGUUUGAUCCUGGCUCAGGAUAAACGCUGGCGGCGUGCUUUACACAUGCAAGUCGAACGGGCAGACCGCAAGGUUUGUCAGUGGCAGACGGCUGAGUAAGACGUGAGUGACCACACAUCGCGAGGGGGAUAACACCGCGAAAGCGGUGCUAAGACCGCGUACGCUCGUUGGGGUAAGGCUCAACGAGGAAAACCGGAAGGUGCGCGAUGCUGGGCUUACGGCCCAUCAGGUAGUUGGGGAGGUAACGGCUUCCCAAGCCGAUGACGGGUAGCUGGUCUGAGAGGAUGAUCAGCCAGACUGGGACUGCGACACGGCCCAGACUCCUACGGGAGGCAGCAGUGGGGAAUUUUGGACAAUGGACGAAAGUCUGAUCCAGCGACGCCGCGUGGGGGACGAAGGUCUUCGGAUUGUAAACCCCUUUUGACAGGGAAGAGAUAGGACGGUACCUGUCGAAUAAGCCCCGGCUAACUACGUGCCAGCAGCCGCGGUAAUACGUAGGGGGCGAGCGUUGUCCGGAUUUACUGGGCGUAAAGGGCGCGUAGGCGGCUAUGUGCGUCGCGGGUGAAAGGUCCUCGCUUAACGGGGAAACGGCUCGCGAUACGGCAUGGCUGUGAGGGCGGUAGAGGAAGGUGGAAUUCCGGGUGUAGUGGUGAAAUGCGUAGAGAUCCGGAGGAACACCAGUGGCGAAGGCGGCCUUCUGGGCCGACCCUGACGCUGAUGCGCGAAAACGUGGGGAGCGAACUGAAUUAGAUACUCAGGUAGUCCACGCCCUAAACGAUGGACACUAGGUGUGGGGGGUAUCGACCCCUCCCGUGCCGCAGCUAACGCAGUAAGUGUCCCGCCUGGGGAGUACGGCCGCAAGGCUAAAACUCAAAGGAAUUGACGGGGGCCCGCACAAGCAGCGGAGCGUGUGGUUUAAUUCGACACCACGCGCAGAACCUUACCAGGGUUUGACAUGUUCCGGCAAGCCUCAGAGAUGGGGUCCUCCCGCAAGGGAUCGGAGCACAGAUGCUGCAUGGCUGUCGUCAGCUCGUGCCGUGAGGUGUUGGGUUAAGUCCCGCAACGAGCGCAACCCGCGUGGCUAGUUACCCUCUCUAGCCAGACUGCCGCGACUAACGCGGAGGAAGGUGCGGAUGACGUCAAGUCAGCACGGCUCUUACAUCCUGGGCUACACACACGCUACAAUGGACGGUACAACGGGUCGCGAAGUCGCGAGGCGGAGCUAAUCCCAUCAAAGCCGUCCCCAGUUCAGAUCGCAGUCUGCAACCCGACUGCGUGAAGGCGGAGUUGCUAGUAACCGCAGGUCAGCACACUGCGGUGAAUACGUUCCCGGGCCUUGUACACACCGCCCGUCACGUCAUGGAAGCCGGUAACACCUGAAGCCGCUGGCCGAACCGCAAGGACGGAGGCGUCGAGGGUGGGAUUGGUAACUGGGACGAAGUCGUAACAAGGUA
rnacentral:rRNA from 1 species